UUAGCUGAGAGGUGGUGCAUGGCCGUCGUCAGUUCGUACUGUGAAGCAUCCUGUUAAGUCAGGCAACGAGCGAGACCCACGCCCACAGUUGCCAGCGUACUCUCUGGAGUGACGGGUACACUGUGGGGACCGCCGCUGCUAAAGCGGAGGAAGGAAUGGGCAACGGUAGGUCAGUAUGCCCCGAAUAUCCCGGGCUACACGCGAGCUACAAUGGUUGGUACAAUGGGUAUCUACCCCGAAAGGGGACGGGAAUCUCCUAAAACCAAUCUUAGUUCGGAUUGAGGGCUGCAACUCGCCCUCAUGAAGUUGGAAUCCGUAGUAAUCGCGUUUCAACAGAACGCGGUGAAUACGUCCCUGCUCCUU
rnacentral:rRNA from 1 species